rnacentral:rRNA from 1 species
AAGGACAGUGGCAAACGGGUGCGCAAUACGUAAGUAACCUAUCCCUAAGUGCGGAAUAGCUCUGAGAAAUCGGAGGUAAUACCGCGUGUGGUGGUGGGGGUAAGGCUUCACCACUAAAGCCCUUCGCAAGAAGGGCGCUUGGGGAGGGGCUUGCGUCCUAUCAGGUAGUUGGUGGGGUAAUGGCUCACCAAGCCGAUGACGGGUAGCUGGUUUGAGAGGACGACCAGCCACACGGGGACUGAGACACGGCCCCGACUCCUACGGGAGGCAGCAGCAAGGAAUAUUGUGCAAUGGGCGAAAGCCUGACACAGCGACGCCGCGUGAGGGAUGAAGGCCUUCGGGUUGUAAACCUCUUUUCCUAGGGACGAAUAAUGACGGUACCUAGGGAAUAAGUCUCGGCCAACUACGUGCCAGCAGCCGCGGUAAUACGUAGGAGGCAAGCGUUAUCCGGAUUCAUUGGGCGUAAAGAGCGAGUAGGCGGCCCUUCAAGUCGGAUGUGAAAUAUCCUGGCUUAACUGGGAGGGGUCAUGCGAUACUGUUAGGCUUGAGUGCAGCAGAGGGAAGCGGAAUCCCGGUGGAGUGGUGAAAUGCGUAGAUAUCGGGAGGAACACCAGUGGCGAAGGCGGCUUUCUGGGCUGUAACUGACGCUGAGACGCGAAAGCGUGGGGAGCGAACAGGAUUAGAUACCCUGGUAGUCCACGCCCUAAACGAUGGAUACUAGGUAUAGGGAGUAUCGACUCUCUCUGUGCCGAAGUUAACACUUUAAGUAUCCCGCCUGGGGAGUACGGUCGCAAGACUAAAACUCAAAGGAAUUGACGGGGGCCCGCACAAGCAGCGGAGCGUGUGGUUUAAUUCGAUGCAACACGAAGAACCUCACCAAGGCUUGACAUGACGGCAGUAGUGAACCGAAAGGGGAACGACCUGUUAAGUCAGGAGCCGCCACAGGUGCUGCAUGGCUGUCGUCAGCUCGUGCCAUGAGGUGUUGGGUUAAGUCCCGUAACGAGCGCAACCCUUAUUGCUAGUUAAUUUCUCUAGCGAGACUGCCCCGCAAAACGGGGAGGAAGGUGGGGAUGACGUCAAGUCAGCACGGCCCUUAUGCCUUGGGCGACACACACGCUACAAUGGGUGGUACAGUAGGCUGCAAUGGAGUGAUCCGGAGCUAAUCCCGAAAAACCAUCCUCAAUUCGGAUUGCAGGCUGAAACCCGCCUGCAUGAAGUCGGAGUUG